AAGGCAAGCCGUCUUAUCGUCUCCCCCGAUGUAUAGGGAGAGAAGGAAAGUCCGGGCAACAUAGAGCACCGCACUUCCUAACAGGAAGGUACAUUUAUGAAAAUAGAAGUAACAGAUAGUGCAACAGAAAACAAACCGUCUCGAUUUAUCGAGAUAAGGGUGAAAAGGUGGGGUAAGAGCCUACCGCCCCAAUGGUGACUGCGGGGGCAUGGUAAACCUUGCGGGUUGAAAGACCAAAUAAGUAGUAUAUGGAGUUGCUCGUUCCUUUUAUACUAUGGGUAGGUCGCUUGAUCCCGAUAGUAAUGUCGGGGCUAGAUAAAUGAUAAGAAUCCUUUUGAUUACUCAAAAGGAUACAGAACCCGGCUUAUAGGCUUGCAUUUUUU
rnacentral:RNase_P_RNA from 1 species